rnacentral:misc_RNA from 1 species
UGCCCUUCGAUCCUCAUACUGAGCUGCCUAGCUCCAAGACUUGUAGUUGAGCCUAUUACUAACCUUUCCUAGCCUAUGGGGAAUACAAGGGGGAAUCCUCACAGUCAGAUAGCUAUGAGUGAAAGAAGAAAGAUAGUUUAGAGUUUACCGUAGCUACUUCUUCCCCUGGCAUGAGUUUACCAGUUGGCUUUGUUCCCUGGGCAAUACUUUUCCAGUUUGGGAAGAGAAAGAAGUUCCCCUCCAAUCCAACACUUAUUAGUCGAGUAGUAACCCCCUCUCCUGCACCUGAAACUCGAAGUAAAGCUAUUCUCUUGCCCAAACUCCCCUCUACUGCAUUCCCGAAGUUCACAGUGCCACUCCUGUCUAAGAGCAUCUUUGAACCUCAACUUCUGAGCUUAGUCUCGCUUUCACCCCCUAUCCUACUUAUUAGUUGAGCUUUGUUCUUCGCCCCUUGGAAUGCCUACCCUAAAUGCCGAGCUAAGUGUCGAACCUCUCCCUCAAGUAAAGGUCGAGCCUAUUGCUAACCUCACUCAGACUGAGCCACAUUGCUAAUCCUUUUAGCCCUAUUUUGCAUAAAGGAACUAAACCUCGGCUUGCCUCUCAGUUGAAAGAGGAAGAUGCCAUGAGACUUAUCUGGAUAUUCCCUAAGUACAAGGAAUGUCAGUCUCUCAUCCAGUCACGGGUAGCGGGGUUAAAGCUUCGAUUAAAGAACGGGGAACUCCCUCUCUCCUACGCCUCUCAGUCAAAAGAGUGCGGGUUCCCACCCCGAAUCUCCUUCUUUUCUUAGUCGAUCUGGUUCCCUUCCAUACUUCUUUGUCGAUCAGUUCCUCCUGUCCCUAUUGGUACCGGCGGUUGUUCUCAAUGAAGAAGCCUCGGAACGAGUGCCACCCCAACAGCCAUAUUCUCGGAUUCGUUCCUAUCCGAGAACCCUCUUUCAGACUCUGCUCCAGUGGACAGGGGUAGCACUCGGUCCACUUGAUUCGGGGCAACCCCUUAGCUAGCCCAUUUUU